rnacentral:rRNA from 1 species
AGUGAACGCUGGCGGUAGGCCUAACACAUGCAAGUCGAACGGCAGCACAGUAAGCGCUUGCUCUUACGGGUGGCGAGUGGCGGACGGGUGAGGAAUACAUCGGAAUCUACUUUUUCGUGGGGGAUAACGUAGGGAAACUUACGCUAAUACCUCAUACGACCUACGGGUGAAAGCAGUGGAUCUUCGGACCUUGCGCGAUUGAAUGAGCCGAUGUCGGAUUAGCUAGUUGGCGGGGUAAAGGCCCACCAAGGCGACGAUCCGUAGCUGGUCUGAGAGGAUGAUCAGCCAAACUGGAAAUGAGAAAAGGGCCAGACUCCUAAGGGAGGCAGCAGUGGGGAAUAUUGGACAAAGGGCGCAAGCCUGAUCCAGCCAAACCGCGUGGGUGAAGAAGGCCUUCGGGUUGUAAAGCCCUUUUGUUGGGAAAGAAAAGCAGCAGGUUAAUACCCCGCUGUUCUGAAGGUACCCAAAGAAUAAGCACCGGCUAACUUCGUG